ACUCCUACGGGAGGCAGCAGUGGGGAAUUUUGCGCAAUGGGCGAAAGCCUGACGCAGCAACGCCGCGUGAGUGAUGAAGGCUUUCGGGUCGUAAAGCUCUGUCAAUGGGAAAGAAGUGUAUUGCAGCUAAUAUCUGCGAUACUUGACGGUACCCAUAAAGGAAGCACCGGCUAACUCCGUGCCAGCAGCCGCGGUAAUACGGGGGGUGCAAGCGUUGUUCGGAAUUAUUGGGCGUAAAGCGCGUGUAGGCGGUUUGUUAAGUCUGUUGUGAAAGCCCUGGGCUCAACCCAGGAAGUGCACUGGAUACUGGCAGACUUGAAUACGGGAGAGGGUAGUGGAAUUCCUGGUGUAGGAGUGAAAUCCGUAGAUAUCAGGAGGAACACCGGUGGCGAAGGCGGCUACCUGGACCGAUAUUGACGCUGAGACGCGAAAGCGUGGGUAGCAAACAGGAUUAGAUACCCUGGUAGUCCACGCCGUAAACGAUGAGAACUAGGUGUUGCGGGUA
rnacentral:rRNA from 1 species